CUGUCCAUCAUUAUGGAGAUUUAUGAGACAUUUGAAACUAACCAAAAAAGACUGUAGAAUGAUCUCAUCUGUGCUUCAGAAAACCCAAAGUAUUGUGAAGUUGAUCUUACAGGACUGUGAGCUCUCUGAUGAGGCCCUGAAACAACUUUGGCCAGUCCUGCCUCAAGUCCAGCUGAGCUGUAGUGAAGCUCUGCUGCUCCAGGUUCUGGCUUGUAUUAGUAAAGAUGGAGCCCAGAGAGUCUCUUUGAGGAGCGCUGAGGCUCUGUCACAGGAGAGCUGGACCUCAGUCACACUCAGAUGGACCCGAGAGCUUGUGAAGAGCUGGCACUGUUUCUGGAAUAUUCUGAAGGACUGACAGAACUGGAUCUCAGUCACUGCAAACUCACUGAUCUCUGCAUGGAGCCGCUGCUGCCACAUCUGCACAAAACCCAGACUCUGGACCUGAGUCACAAUAAUAUCACACGUCUGCACUCACAGCAAUAUUCAGACUGUACGACUCUUCGGAAACAAAAUCAGUGAUAGAAAGCAGUUCAUCAGAGACCAGCGAUUUGAAAUAUGGUGAAGAUCCUGGGCCGGAACCUGACUGAUUUAUCAUUAAGAUGAUAUUUUGUAUUAGGCUUGAUACAUGACGGAACAAAAUGAAAUGAUAUCUUUAAUGCAACACCAGCCUGGUUAAUUAGAACCAGAUUUAUUUAAUUUAAAUGUUUAUUAUAUUACAAAGCGAUGAUAAUGAUUUUUAUGUUGCAGUGUAUUAUGCAAUAAUUAUUUCUUGGGAAUGUAAUACUAGUAUCUUCACUGGCUACCGUUCACCGCUCACAUCAAGUUCAAGACAUUAAAGUUUGUGUACAGUACAGCCACAGGCUGCUCACCCUCUUACAAACUGACCUCCACUCCUGCUGUUAGUGGGUGAGCAGCACCUCAUGGUACUGUAACAGAGGCACAGUGUCAUUUCCCCAAACAUUCACAUUCACCCGUGGUGGUCUUACCCGGACAGCCAAAUGCAGUAUUUAAGAAAUGGCAAAAAACACUUUUUUUUCAGUGAGCACUUAACUGUGGAUGUUGCCUGGGGGCAAAAACAUAUUUCUAUGCUUUUGCUUCUAGACAAUGUUUAAAAUUUGUAUUGUUAGCACUUCUGUUAUUACCUCCUCAGAAUAAUUCACUUUGUUAUACUCCUGAUUUUUAAGUCGCUUUGGUUAAAGCAUCAGCUAAAUGAAUUAUUAA